UUUCUGAGAGUUUGAUUCUGGCUCAGAACGAACGCUGGCAGCGUGGAUUAGGCAUGCAAGUCGAACGGGAUCCGGAAGGUAGCAAUACCGGCCGGUGAGAGUGGCGGAAGGGCGAGGAGCACGUGGACAACCUGUCCCGUGGGUGGGGAUACCGUCCCGAAAGGGGCGUUAAUACCGAAUGGGGCCCCGGACCGCAUGGUCCGGCGGCCAAAGGCGGGGACCGCAAGGCCCGCCCCCCCGGGAGGGGUCCGCGCACCAUCAGCUAGACGGCGGGGUAACGGCCCACCGUGGCUUACGGUUAGCUGGUCUGAGAGGACGACCAGCCGCACUGGGACUGAGACACUGCCCAGACUCCUACGGGAGGCUGCAGUCGAGGAUCAUUCGCAAUGGGCGAAAGCCUGACGAUGCGACGCUGCGUGGAGGAUGAAGGCCCUCGGGUCGUAAACUCCUGUCAUGGGGGGCGAGGCGGAGGCGGUUAACGGCCGCCCGAGUUGACGGUACCCCAAGAGGAAGCCACGGCUAACUCUGUGCCAGCAGCCGCGGUAAUACAGAGGUGGCGAGCGUUGUUCGGAUUUACUGGGCGUAAAGGGCGCGUAGGCGGCCGCGUGUGUGGGGUGUGAAAUCUCCGGGCUCAACCCGGAAAGUGCGCCCCAAACUGCGCGGCUCGAGUGCGGGAGGGGAGAUCGGAAUGCAGGGUGUAGCGGUGAAAUGCGUUGAUAUCCUGCAGAACACCGGUGGCGAAGGCGGAUCUCUGGAACGCAACUGACGCUGAGGCGCGAAAGCAGGGGGAGCAAACAGGAUUAGAUACCCUGGUAGUCCCUGCCCUAAACGGUGCACGCUUGGGGUGGGGGGAUUUCACCCCCCCCGUCCCGGAGCUAACGCGUUAAGCGUGCCGCCUGGGGAGUACGGCCGCAAGGUUAAAACUCAAAGAAAUUGACGGGGGCCCGCACAAGCAGAGGAGCAUGUGGCUUAAUUCGAUGCAACGCGAAGAACCUUACCCGGGUUUGACAUGCAGCUGCACGUCCCGUGAAAGCGGGACUCCUUCGAGGGUGCUGCACAGGUGCUGCAUGGCUGUCGUCAGUUCGUGCCGUGAGGUGUUUGGUUAAGUCCAGCAACGAACGCAACCCCUGUGUCCAGUUGCCAGCGCGUAACGGCGGGAACUCUGGACAGACUGCCCGUUCACACGGGAGGAAGGUGGGGACGACGUCAAGUCAGUAUGGCCCUUACAUCCGGGGCUGCACACGUGCUACAAUGGCCGGCACAAAGGGAAGCGAGGCCGCGAGGCGGAGCCAACCCCCAAAACCGGCCCCAGUUCAGAUCGGGGUCUGCAACCCGACCCCGUGAAGUCGGAUUUGCUAGUAACGGCGCAUCAGCUACGGCGCCGUGAAUACGUUCCCGGGCCUUGUACACACCGCCCGUCACAUCAUGAAAGCCGUCUGCACCCGAAGCCGGCGCACCAACCCGCAAGGGGGGGAGCCGCCUAAGGUGUGGGUGGUGAUUGGGAUGAAGUCGUAACAAGGUAACCGUUGGGGAACCAGCGGUUGGAUCACCUCCUUU
rnacentral:rRNA from 1 species